rnacentral:rRNA from 1 species
UACGAAGGGGGCUAGCGUUGUUCGGAUUUACUGGGCGUAAAGCGCACGUAGGCGGAUUGUUAAGUCAGGGGUGAAAUCCUGGAGCUCAACUCCAGAACUGCCUUUGAUACUGGCAAUCUUGAGUCCGGAAGAGGUGAGUGGAACUCCUAGUGUAGAGGUGGAAUUCGUAGAUAUUAGGAAGAACACCAGUGGCGAAGGCGGCUACCUGGACCAGCACUGACACUGAGGCACGAAAGCGUGGGGAGCAAACAGG